ensembl:processed_transcript
ACAUGUAACUUACUCCAGAGACGCACUAACUUGCACAGCAUUGAAUGGAAAAGGCUUUGUCCAUGACCAGUUGAGGGGCAUCAAGAACAUGCAGAUGGCCUAAACCUGUGUCAGCCUGGACAGACUGCAGUUCUGCUACUCCAUGCCAAGGCUUUUGUUUUCUGGAAGCUCCAUUUGAGGGCAUCAAGGACAUACUGAUGGCCUAAACCAGUGUCAGCCUAGACAGACAGACAUCUAUUGCAGUUCUGCUACACAAGACCAAACUCUCUGCUUUUGUAUGGAUGUCUG